rnacentral:rRNA from 1 species
AUUGAACGCUGGCGGCAGGCCUAACACAUGCAAGUCGAACGGUAGCAGGAAGUGCUUGCACUUCGCUGACGAGUGGCGGACGGGUGAGUAAUGCUUGGGAACUUGCCUUUGCGAGGGGGAUAACAGUUGGAAACGACUGCUAAUACCGCAUAAUGUCUUUGGACCAAACAGGGCUUCGGCUCUGGCGCAAAGAGAGGCCCAAGUGAGAUUAGCUAGUUGGUGAGGUAAAGGCUCACCAAGGCGACGAUCUCUAGCUGUUCUGAGAGGAAGAUCAGCCACACUGGGACUGAGACACGGCCCAGACUCCUACGGGAGGCAGCAGUGGGGAAUAUUGCACAAUGGGGGAAACCCUGAUGCAGCCAUGCCGCGUGUGUGAAGAAGGCCUUCGGGUUGUAAAGCACUUUCAGUUGUGAGGAAGGGUUGGUAGUUAAUACCUGCCAACAUUGACGUUAGCAACAGAAGAAGCACCGGCUAACUCCG